GUUUAUUUAAGGGUAAAUGUGUGAUAACAUUAGCCUGCAGGAAUAUACUUUCCUGUGUGAUUUAUUAGUUCCCCAUUCAUCAGUUUAAAAGCACUAUGAACUCCAUUUAUUUUAACUAGGUGUAGCUAAUAAACUCAUCUGAGUUUCAUUUAAAUGAAUUGCAUUUAAACUACAAUAAAGAGUAACUGUGAAGCAUUUUGACCGAUUCUGUUAGGAAAGCUAUAUGGAUGUAUUUGGUUGGCUGGCCUCACAUUUUUCCCUCUUUCUCUUUCCAGUGAUGUGGCAGUGUAAGGGGUGUUCCGUUGCAGUAGCUAGUAGGUCUUUACGUCUUAAUCAUUAUAAACUGAAGCAUCCACAUUUUUGGCGCACCAUCCACUAUCCAUGAACAUUUAAGACUUGGAAUGCUUUAAUUGUACACCAAAGUAGAGUUCAUUCAACACAAGUUAGUCAGACUCAAAAAGAGUUGGCUACUUUCAGCUGUCACUUAUGUAGAUGCAAAAAUCUAUCUAAUGAAAGGGAAUACUUUAUUCAUAUCAACAUACAUCUGAGGAGAAAUGAAAUAUUCUCUGACAUGUUUGUUGGCUGUACUUUUCAAACCAAUAUUUAUGAAACGUUUGUCUCGUAAGAGAAGCCGACACACACCUCAUAACCUAACUGAUUUUAUUCCUGGUAUUGUGUUAACAACUACAUUAGCAUUACCAUCAUUACAUGAUUCUUCAGCUGAUUGCCAGGAUGAGGAGUUUGUGGAAGGGGAAGUUUCUGUUGCACCCCUAGGUUUGGAAGACCAAUACAGACCAAUGUAUAUAUUUUAAAUAUAAGAUCAUUAGAAAAUGAAGUAAUCAAAUGAUUUUCUCAUUUUUAUUUUCAGAUAAAUGCAGAAUUUAAGCGCAUUACCACCAUGCCCCUGCAAUCCAGAUUUCGGUCACAGCUGGAUGUACGAUCUGACAAACUUCUAAAGCUGUUCGAAAAACGAGGAGGACAGAUAGGCAAGCGUCUUGAGAGAACUUUGGCCCCCAUGACUCAAGACGAUGACGUUGAUGCAGGGCGGGAAUGUGUUCUCAAGUGGCUGUGUGUGUACCUCAACGAAGGCCCAGCAAAUCUUGUCAGGGAGUUUGUGGCAGAGAACGAAGCUGUCAUCAAAAUCGAUUGAGGACACCACGUGGGAAUAUUUGUCGUGAAAAAUGAUGCAACCAGUGGUCCAGAGGACGUGGGGAUUGUCCUGGAAGGCCUGCAGAUAAUGCAAGGACUGGACAACACUGCAUUAGCUGCUGCCAUAUUGUUUGGCCUAAUGUAUGUAUUGAACCUCAACUACCCUCCUGAGCUAAAGUACACGUUUGAAGUGCGCCAAAAAGUUGUGAUGGAGCUGGACGGCACCACGCGCUCAAAGAAAGCCCAAGUUCUCAAAAACAGACUGAGUGAGCUGUUGUCCUUGGAUCUUUUUGCUCAUCGACUUGAUUCUGGACUGUUCACAUGCAACUUUGCUGUUCUUUGUUCUUGCAGUAUUUACAUACAGCAUGUCUACUGUAUUAUCAAAUGAAUGUUUUUUUCUGGAGCUCAUGCGUUCCCAAAAUGUGACUCGGAUUUGCUGUUUUCUCUUAAAGUAAUAGAGCUGCUGAAUGAGCUGUUGCCAUGGACCAUGUUUGCUCUGUGAAUGCACUUGUCUUUUGACAUGCACUCAUGCAGCUUUAGUUUUUCCUGUAUUAUUUUUGCAGUAUUUAGAUUCUUGGAAGAUUUACAUUUGUUGUAGGAUUAAUGAUGUUUGUCCAGGUCUACUGAUGGUCUACUCAUUGUUUGUUGUGCGGUGAUUCAUUCAAAACACUGGCAGUACUUUUUUAUUUUAUUAUUUAAUUACACUUUUAUGCAAAGUAAAAAAAAACAUAAUGCAACCUAACAUGUUGUUUUGGGAUUUCAGUGUUAAUGUCUGUUUUCAAAAAGAUUGUUAAUUUGGCACAAUUGUCAGAUUGUAGCAGUUGUGGAUGUUUACUGUUUUCUCCUGAUUGGGUCCUGCUGUACUGCGUACAAAUUGCAUGUCCAAACUAUUGCUAUUUGAAGGUGGAGUCAGCGAUUAAGGGGAAUUAUUGUUGUAAAAAAAAAGUGAAUAUCUCUUUAUGAUCCGCUACCUGUCCGUACUUAUGUGCUAUAAAUCCUUUGUUAGUGCUCAGCCUAGGCUCUGUAAACCAAAUUUAAGCAGUAUUAUUCGUAAUACAACAUUUAUUUACCAUAUUUCUAGGUAAUUUCAUUGUUUUAAAAUGUGAAUGUUUCUAAUCAAACA
ensembl:lncRNA